UUGCCAGCCCGCUCAGAAACUCAAAGGAAUUGACGGGGCCCGCACAAGCGGUGGAGCAUGUGGUUUAAUUCGAUGAUACGCGAGGAACCUUACCUGGGCUCAAAUGUAUGUUGACGUAUUCUGAAAGGGAUACUUCUUCGGACAAUAUACAAGGUGCUGCAUGGUUGUCGUCAGCUCGUGCCGUGAGGUGUCGGGUUAAGUCCCAUAACGAGCGCAACCCUACCUUUAGUUGCCAUCAGGUAAUGCUGGGGACUCUAAAGGAACUGCCUACGCAAGUAGUGAGGAAGGCGGGGAUGACGUCAAAUCAGCACGGCCCUUACGUCCAGGGCUACACACGUGCUACAAUGGCCGAUACAGAGGGCAGCUACCUGGUGACAGGAUGCAAAUCUCCAAAGUCGGUCUCAGUUCGGAUCGGAGUCUGCAACCCGACUCCGUGAAGUUGGAUUCGCUAGUAAUCGCGCAUCAGCCAUGGCGCGGUGAAUACGUUCCCGGGCCUU
rnacentral:rRNA from 1 species